rnacentral:rRNA from 1 species
UACGAAGGUCCCAAGCGUUAUCCGGAUUUAUUGGGUUUAAAGGGCGUGUAGGCGGUCAGGUAAGUGGGAUGUGAAGUGCCCCGGCUCACCCGGGGACCGGCAUCCCAUACUGCUUGGCUUGAGUACGGGAGAGGAUGUGGGAAUUCCUGGUGUAGCGGUGAAAUGCGUAGAUAUCAGGAGGAACACCGGUGGCGAAGGCGCACAUCUGGCCCGAUACUGACGCUGAGGCGCGAAAGCUAGGGGAGCAAACGGG